CAGCCGUAAACUAUGCGCGUUAGGUGUAUCGGUGACCACGAGUUACCGAAGUGCCGAAGGGAAACCGUGAAACGUGCCGCCUGGGAAGUACGGUCGCAAGGCUGAAACUUAAAGGAAUUGGCGGGGGAGCACCACAACAGGUGGAGCCUGCGGUUUAAUUGGACUCAACGCCGGGAAGCUCACCGGAUAGGACAGCAGAAUGAUUGCCGGGCUGAAGACCCUGCAUGACAAGCUGAGAGGUGGUGCAUGGCGUGUGACUGU
rnacentral:rRNA from 1 species